UACGUAGGGCGCAAGCGUUAUCCGGAAUUAUUGGGCGUAAAGAGCUCGUAGGCGGUUUGUCGCGUCUGCCGUGAAAGUCGGGGGCUCAACCCUCGGAUGCCGGUGGAUACUGUCGGGCUCGAGUACGGAAGAGGCGAGUGGAAUUCCUGGUGUAGCGGUGAAAUGCGCAGAUAUCAGGAGGAACACCGGUGGCGAAGGCGGGUCUCUGGGCCGAUACUGACGCUGAGGAGCGAAAGCGUGGGGAGCGAACAGG
rnacentral:rRNA from 1 species